GGGGCUGAUUCUGGAUUCGACGGGAUUCGCGAAACCCAAGGUGCAUGCCGAGGGGCGGUUUGCCUCGUUAAAAGCCGCAAAAAAAUAGUCGCAAACGACGAAAACUACGCUUUAGCAGCUUAAUAACCUGCUUAGAGCCCUCUCUCCCUAGCCUCCGCUCUUAGGACGGGGAUCAAGAGAGGUCAAACCCAAAAGAGAUCGCGUGGAUGCC
rnacentral:tmRNA from 1 species